UUGACGGGAUAAUCGCGGGGGCAACCCUGAGGAAAGUCCGAACACCCAAGGACAGGUCGCCGGAUAACGUCCGGUGCAGGUAACUGUGAGGAUAGUGCCACAGAAAUGCUGACUGCCGAUGGAACAUUUUGUUCACAGGCGAUGGUGCAACGGUGGUGUAAGAGACCACCGGUAAUACCGAGAGGUAUUAGCCAGGUAAACCCCGACAGGGUGCAAGAUUAGAAGAAUUAAGGUCGUCCGCCGCUCUUCUUCAUAUCGCUGGAGGCUAAGGGUAACUUUAGUCCAAGACAGAUGAUUAUCAAAUACAGAAUUCGGCUUACAGU
rnacentral:RNase_P_RNA from 1 species